UCAGUAGGUUUUUUUUACAGGUUAUACCGUAGAGAGGGUUUAAAGAACUGAAAUGGUUGUUGUUUUUGUAUUAUAACAGCUUUUUUUAAGAAACAACAGCUAGAGAAACACUUGGAAACUCACGGACAACAAACCGUAAAUGAACAAGUCGCAACUGAAAUAUGUGCUGCAGCAGAAGAGAAACAGUCAGUUACAGAAGAAUCAUCUAGCCUGACCCUUGAGGGAGAACAGAAACAGUCAAAGGACAGAGAAUUAAUCCAAUUAAUCUGUGCAACUUGUCAUAAAGGUUUUGACUCCGAGGACCAAUUUGCAAUCCACGUUUGUUCGGGCCAUCCCAAGUAGGUUUACACAACAGUGGUGCUCUGUUUGAUUGGAAAAUGAAGUUGUAGGUUACCCGUGUUACGACGUUUUUACUUCAUUGAAGGUUUUACUUGGUAACAUUAGCAAAUGUUCAUAGCAUAAAGUUUAUUUCUGUCAAUUCCCUGGUGAAUGGUUUAUCAAGAAAUUCAUACAUUUUAAUAAAAGAGUGAUGUUCUGAAAUUACCAUGACCGUGAAAAUUAAUAUUUGUAAAUUAUAUCCUGUUAGAUAUGUCCUUAUAAUCAGUUCUGAAAGGUUUUAUGCUGUGAUUUUAAUAGAUAUCAUGAAAUUUCUCAAGAAGUACGUGUGUUUUCAGUUAUUUUUCGGGGAAAAAAACCAGCUUUUAACAUCAUAUAAUUCUCCAUUAGCUAAUGGAAUAUAUAUGUGUGUGUGUGUGUGUGUUUGUUUUCUUUUAUUUCUUAUUAUUGUAUCUUGUAUAACAUUCUGUUGGUCAUGUAGAAUUGUAAACCUAGUAAUAAUAUUAAGUUACUGUUAGUGGAGGUUUGGAUAUCUGACAAUAAACACGAUAACAUUUGUGUAAAAUAUUAAAACAAGCUACUUUACACUUUGGAAGGUAAGAGUAUUUUUAAGGCAAGUUUGUAGUUUUUGUAUAUAUUUAAACCUGUUAUUCGUGUUCAGUGAUCAAGUUUUCAAAUAUCAGUAAUUAAUUGUAUUUUUUCAUCUCAGAGAAGUCUUGUUGCUGCUAUCAUGAUAUGUAAGAAAACACAGAUUAACGAGGUGUUUUGUACAACUUUUAUUUGUCGCACGCACACACACACAAUUGUUUUUAAGUUGAGAUGGUCAUCUCUCUUCCUUUUGCACCAACAUAAUUCAUGUGACUGAGUUUAUGGAUUGGGUGCUUUUAAUGGCCACUGAACGGUGUUAUUCAUCAUGAGUCAAACAAGUGAUUUAAAAAUUGGGUUUGAAUAGAAUUUCUAGCUUUCUCAAUGAUACGACAUCCACACUUUGUUGUUUUCAUAAUACUUGAAAUCAAGUAUUUUCCAGUCACUGAAUUGUAACGAUUCAUUGUUGGGCCACGGAAGACGUUGUUAUGGUUUCUUAUAUAUAUUUUAAACUAAAAUAAACUGAUGUUUGACAACUUGAUGACUUACAUCAACAAA